rnacentral:SRP_RNA from 1 species
CAUCGGUCCCCUCGCAUCGCCAGGUCGUGAACCCCGUCAGGCCCGGAAGGGAGCAGCGGCAGCGGCGGACGCGAGUGCCGGGGUGCGGCUGGUGCGG